GCGACAGAUCACGACUCCAUCUCAAAAUAAAUAAAUAAAUAAAUUAUACAUUGGGCUCUUUUGCCUUUUAUUCUUGUGCUUUCUAAUCACAACUAAACACUAAACUCACAUCUUGGCUUUGCAGAUCACUCUAAGCUUGGCUGCAGCUGUGGUGCUGAGGAGGCUAAUAGAGAAGCUCCCUCGCUCUCAACCCCACCCCUUCCUUCCGGGAGCAAACCCAAGUCUGGUCCCGACUCCGGAUCCCUCCCACAUUAGACCUACCACACCCUCAGGGCAGACAACAGCUCCACACACCCCACACUCAGCCACCAGGGCAAGGGAGCAAAAUUCCAGAAAGCUCAGAGCGGACUGAUGUACUGGCCCUUAGUACAGGUGCUGCCAUGGCCACGACUGUUGUUACACUCGAGCUGAGGAGGCCGGCUGCAGCCCCAAGACAGAGCGCUACUCCUGGCAGUGCGUCAAUCAGAGCGUCCUGUGCG
rnacentral:lncRNA from 1 species